rnacentral:rRNA from 1 species
AGAGUUUGAUCCUGGCUCAGAACGAACGCUGGCGGCAUGCCUAACACAUGCAAGUCGAACGAAGGCUUCGGCCUUAGUGGCGCACGGGUGCGUAACGCGUGGGAAUCUGCCCUUGGGUUCGGAAUAACUCAGAGAAAUUUGAGCUAAUACCGGAUGAUGUCGAAAGACCAAAGAUUUAUCGCCCAAGGAUGAGCCCGCGUAAGAUUAGCUAGUUGGUGGGGUAAAGGCCUACCAAGGCGACGAUCUUUAGCUGGUCUGAGAGGAUGAUCAGCCACACUGGGACUGAGACACGGCCCAGACUCCUACGGGAGGCAGCAGUGGGGAAUAUUGGACAAUGGGCGAAAGCCUGAUCCAGCAAUGCCGCGUGAGUGAUGAAGGCCUUAGGGUUGUAAAGCUCUUUUACCAGGGAUGAUAAUGACAGUACCUGGAGAAUAAGCUCCGGCUAACUCCGUGCCAGCAGCCGCGGUAAUACGGAGGGAGCUAGCGUUGUUCGGAAUUACUGGGCGUAAAGCGUACGUAGGCGGUGACUCAAGUCAGAGGUGAAAGCCUGGAGC